rnacentral:rRNA from 1 species
UACGUAGGGCGCAAGCGUUGUCCGGAAUUAUUGGGCGUAAAGAGCUCGUAGGCGGCUUGUCACGUCGGGUGUGAAAGCCCCGGGGCUUAACCCCGGGUCUGCAUUCGAUACGGGCAGGCUAGAGUGUGGUAGGGGAGAUCGGAAUUCCUGGUGUAGCGGUGAAAUGCGCAGAUAUCAGGAGGAACACCGGUGGCGAAGGCGGAUCUCUGGGCCUUACCUGACGCUCAGGUGCGAAAGCUAGGGGAGCGAACAGG